GUCGGAUUAGCUAGUUGGUGAGGUAAUGGCUCACCAAGGCAGCGAUCCGUAGCUGGUCUGAGAGGAUGAUCAGCCACAUCGGGACUGAGACACGGCCCGAACUCCUACGGGAGGCAGCCGUGGGGAAUAUUGGACAAUGGGGGCAACCCUGAUCCAGCCAUGCCGCGUGUGUGAAGAAGGCCCUCGGGUUGUAAAGCACUUUCAGCGAGGAAGAACGCCUAGUGGUUAAUACCCAUUAGGAAAGACAUCACUCGCAGAAGAAGCACCGGCUAACUCCGUGCCAGCAGCCGCGGUAAUACGGAGGGUGCAAGCGUUAAUCGGAAUUACUGGGCGUAAAGCGCGCGUAGGUGGCUUGAUAAGCCGGUCGUGAAAGCCCCGGGCUCAACCUGGGAACGGCAUCCGGAACUGUCAGGCUAGAGUGCAGGAGAGGAAGGUAGAAUUCCCGGUGUAGCGGUGAAAUGCGUAGAGAUCGGGAGGAAUACCAGUGGCGAAGGCGGCCUUCUGGACUGACACUGACACUGAGGUGCGAAAGCGUGGGUAGCAAACAGGAUUAGAUACCCUGGUAGUCCACGCCGUAAACGAUGUCGACCAGCCGUUGGGUGCCUAGCGCACUUUGUGGCGAAGUUAACGCGAUAAGUCGACCGCCUGGGGAGUACGGCCGCAAGGUUAAAACUCAAAUGAAUUGACGGGGGCCCGCACAAGCGGUGGAGCAUGUGGUUUAAUUCGAUGCAACGCGAAGAACCUUACCUACCCUUGACAUCGACAGAAGCCGAGAGAGAUCUUGGUGUGCCUUCGGGAACUGUCAGACAGGUGCUGCAUGGCUGUCGUCAGCUCGUGUUGUGAAAUGUUGGGUUAAGUCCCGUAACGAGCGCAACCCUUGUCCUUAUUUGCCAGCACGUAAUGGUGGGAACUCUAAGGAGACUGCCGGUGACAAACCGGAGGAAGGUGGGGACGACGUCAAGUCAUCAUGGCCCUUACGGGUAGGGCUACACACGUGCUACAAUGGCCGGUACAAAGGGCAGCGAGCUCGCGAGAGUCAGCGAAUCCCUUAAAGCCGGUCUCAGUCCGGAUCGGAGUCUGCAACUCGACUCCGUGAAGUCGGAAUCGCUAGUAAUCGU
rnacentral:rRNA from 1 species